UACGUAGGGACCGAGCGUUGUCCGGAUUCAUUGGGCGUAAAGAGCGUGUAGGCGGCCAGGUAGGUCCGUUGUGAAAACUGAAGGCUUAACCUUCAGACGUCGAUGGAAACCAUCUGGCUAGAGUCCGGAAGAGGAGAGUGGAAUUCCUGGUGUAGCGGUGAAAUGCGCAGAUAUCAGGAAGAACACCCGUGGCGAAGGCGGCUCUCUGGGACGGUACUGACGCUGAGACGCGAAAGCGUGGGGAGCGAACAGG
rnacentral:rRNA from 1 species